UACUGAUUGUCUAUAGAGGAGGAAACCUCUUGGGUUAUUACGGAGCCACUCACUGAAAUGCUGAUGGAAUCAAAUUGUCAAGUGUUUAAUACUACUCCCAAACAAUAUUCUUCAGCUUAAUUCACAACAUGAUAAUUAGACACAGUCGAUGAACUGAAGAAAAACAGGCGAUCUAUCGGCAUCUGCAUGAUUCUUAUCUCCAUGCCCAAGUCUCUGAAGAAAGACAGUGAAAUAGCAUGUGAACUUUGUGGAGUUUUUCAUUUUUUUAAUGAAAAUAAAUUUCCAAUAAAAAUACUAUUUUGUCAAUA